GUGCCAGCAGCCGCGGUAAGACGAACCGUCCGAACGUUAUUCGGAAUCACUGGGCUUAAAGGGUGCGUAGGCGGCGCGGAAAGUUGGGUGUGAAAUCCCUCGGCUCAACCGAGGAACUGCGCCCAAAACUACCGUGCUCGAGGGAGAUAGAGGUGAGCGGAACUUAGGGUGGAGCGGUGAAAUGCGUUGAUAUCCUAAGGAACACCGGUGGCGAAAGCGGCUCACUGGAUCUCUUCUGACGCUGAGGCACGAAAGCUAGGGUAGCGAACGGGAUUAGAUACCCCGGUAGUCC
rnacentral:rRNA from 1 species